ACUGGGCACGGUGGCUCAUGCUUGUAAUCCCAGCACUUUGGGAGGCCAAGGUGAGGGGAUCAUCUGAGGUCGGGAGUUUGAGACCAGCCUGGUCAACAUGGCGAAACCCCAUCUCUACUAAAAAUAACAAAAAUUAGCCGGGUGUGGUGGUGCAUGCCUGAAAUACCAGCUACUUGGGAGGCUGAGGCAGGAGAAUCACUUGAACCCAGGAGGCGGNNNNNNNNNNUAUUUUUAGUAGAGAUGGGGUUUCGCCAUGUUGACCAGGCUGGUCUCAAACUCCCGACCUCAGAUGAUCCCCUCACCUU
rnacentral:SRP_RNA from 1 species